AGCAGCCGCGGUAAUUCCAGCUCCAAUAGCGUAUAUUAAAGUUGUUGCAGUUAAAAAGCUCGUAGUUGAAUUUCGGGGUUAGUAGGUUGGUCAUGCCUCUGGUAUGUACUGGUCUCACUGAUUCCUCCUUCCUUAUGAACCGUAAUGCCAUUAAUUUGGUGUUGCGGGGAAUUUGGACUGUUACUUUGAAAAAAUUUAGAGUGUUUAAAGCAAGCUAACGCUUGAAUACAUUAGCAUGGAAUAAUGAAAUAGGACGUUCGAUCUUAUUUUGUUGGUUUCUAGGAUUGACGUAAUGAUUAAUAGGGAUAGUUGGGGGCAUUAGUAUUCAAUUGUCAGAGGUGAAAUUCUUGGAUUUAUUGAAGACUAACUACUGCGAAAGCAUUUGCCAAGGAUGUUUUCAUUAAUCAAGAACGAAAGUUAGGGGAUCGAAGACGAUCAGAUACCGUCGUAGUCUUAACCAUAAACUAUGCCGACUAGGGAUCGGAUGAUGUUAAUUUUUUUAAUGACUCAUUCGGCGCCU
rnacentral:rRNA from 1 species